ACAACUUUCAACAACGGAUCUCUUGUAUCUGGCAUCUAUGAAAAAAACAGCGAAAUGCGAUAAGUAUUGUGAAUUGCAGAAAUCACUGAAUCAUCGAAUCUUUGAACGCACAUUGCGCUCCCUGGUAUUCUGGGGAGCAUGCCUGUUCGAGCGUCAUUA
rnacentral:rRNA from 1 species